UUAGCUAAAUUCUAAUUUCCCACCAAACCUUUUACUUGGAAGACAUUCUUUUUCGAAAAGAUGCCAAACCCAUAUCUCUCAGUCUCCUUCAUCUCUCAUCCCGUUUCCUCUUCUUCUCUUCAUCCUCGCUCGAUGCCAUCCCAUCGAUAUAAAGGCUGAAGCCAAUAAUCCGGUCAUUAGAUCUGAGGAAGAACCACUAGAGCGAAGAAGAAGAGAGCCAGACCUACACAAACCCCUUCUUUCCGUCCUCUCUCAGGGGUAGAAGUAGUUUUUGCAGUAGAGAAAGCUGCGGUGGAGAUAUGACAUCAAGCGUCUCUUUUCCGAGCACGCCCUUCUCUCCUCGUCCACCAGAUCACUCACUCGGCCUGCAUCUUUGUCCAUGCUCACUGGAGUCCGGUAUAAAUUUUCAUACCUCAAGGUUAGUGUUUGAAAUGUAUAUUAGUAGAUAUACAUUAGCUUCUUAGGAUCCUACUGCUUGAACAUCCGUAUACAUAUAUUGUAGAGGUAUUCAAGUUAUAGUUCCACCAUUUGCAUAUUCAUGGUCAUAAGAGAAAGAAACAAAGGGUAUGGUGGCUCUCCUAGAGUUCAGAGUAAAUGUCAAAAAUGUUAUAUAUAAAUUUGUUAGGAAAAUAACUAACUAUAUAUCGCAUGUAUGCAGGAGUACUUGCAUUUUGUAGUUACUGCUGACACCUAGUUUUUUGUAGUUCUGGAAAACAUCCCUAGUUUUUUGUAUGCCAAGAAUUUAUUUAAGGUAUGAAGUAGAUGUCAUUUUUGUAUGCCAAGAAAUGUAAAAAAAGAUCUUGCUGGCAUGGCCAGUUUGUAUAUAUUGGGCACUUUCUCAUGGAUAUAUAG